rnacentral:rRNA from 1 species
UACGUAGGGUGCGAGCGUUGUCCGGAUUUACUGGGCGUAAAGAGCGCGCAGGCGGCUGGUCAAGUCCGCUGUGAAAGUCCAGGGCUCAACCCUGGAAUGCCGGUGGAAACUGUCGAGCUAGAGUCCGGAAGAGGCGAGUGGAAUUCCUGGUGUAGCGGUGAAAUGCGCAGAUAUCAGGAGGAACACCAAUGGCGAAGGCAGCUCGCUGGGACGGUACUGACGCUGAGACGCGAAAGCGUGGGGAGCAAACAGG